GGGGGCUACUUGUAGCUUUCGCCAAAGGAGGAACCUAAGCGAGAUUAGCUAGUUGGUGAGGUAAAGGCUCACCAAGGCGACGAUCUCUAGCUGUUCUGAGAGGAAGAUCAGCCACACUGGAACUGAGACACGGUCCAGACUCCUACGGGAGGCAGCAGUGGGGAAUAUUGCACAAUGGGGGGAACCCUGAUGCAGCCAUGCCGCGUGUGUGAAGAAGGCCUUCGGGUUGUAAAGCACUUUCAGUUGCGAGGAAAGGUGUGUGGUUAAUACCCACAUACUGUGACGUUAACAACAGAAGAAGCACCGGCUAACUCCGUGCCAGCAGCCGCGGUAAUACGGAGGGUGCGAGCGUUAAUCGGAAUUACUGGGCGUAAAGCGCACGCAGGUGGUUAUUUAAGCCAGAAGUGAAAGCCCCGCGCUCAACGUGGGAAGGCCUUUUGGAACUGGGUAACUAGAGUCUUGGAGAGGGGAGUGGAAUUUCUGGUGUAGCGGUGAAAUGCGUAGAUAUCAGAAGGAACAUCAGUGGCGAAGGCGACUCUCUGGCCAAAGACUGACACUCAUGUGCGAAAGUGUGGGUAGCGAACAGGAUUAGAUACCCUGGUAGUCCACACCGUAAACGCUGUCUACUAGCUGUGUGUGAAUAUAAUUCGUGCGUAGCGAAGCUAACGCGCUAAGUAGACCGCCUGGGGAGUACGGCCGCAAGGUUAAAACUCAAAUGAAUUGACGGGGGCCCGCACAAGCGGUGGAGCAUGUGGUUUAAUUCGAUGCAACGCGAAGAACCUUACCUACUCUUGACAUACAGAGAACUUUCCAGAGAUGGAUUGGUGCCUUCGGGAGCUCUGAUACAGGUGCUGCAUGGCUGUCGUCAGCUCGUGUCGUGAGAUGUUGGGUUAAGUCC
rnacentral:rRNA from 1 species